rnacentral:tRNA from 1 species
GGAGUUGUGGCUCAGUGGUAGAGCACUUGUCUUGCAUGCUUGGGGCACUGUGUUCGAUCCUCAGCACCA